CCUACGGGCGACAGCAGUCGAGAAUCAUUCACAAUGGGGGAAACCCUGAUGGUGCGACGCCGCGUGGGGGAAUGAAGGUCUUCGGAUUGUAAACCCCUGUCAUGUGGGAGCAAAUUAAAAAGAUAGUACCACAAGAGGAAGAGACGGCUAACUCUGUGCCAGCAGCCGCGGUAAUACAGAGGUCUCAAGCGUUGUUCGGAAUCACUGGGCGUAAGGCGUGCGUAGGCUGUUUCGUAAGUCGUGUGUGAAAGGCGCGGGCUCAACCCGCGGACGGCACAUGAUACUGCGAGACUAGAGUAAUGGAGGGGGAACCGGAAUUCUCGGUGUAGCAGUGAAAUGCGUAGAUAUCGAGAGGAACACUCGUGGCGAGGGCGGGUUCCUGGACAUUAACUGACGCUGAGGCACGAAGGCCAGGGGAGCGAAAGGGAUUAGAUACCCGAGUAGUC
rnacentral:rRNA from 1 species